GCCGAUGUGGCUCAGUGGAUAGAGUGUCAGCCUGCGGACUGAAGGGUCCUGGGUUUGAUUCCCUGUCAGGGCA
rfam:Myotis lucifugus cont2.60003, whole genome shotgun sequence.